rnacentral:rRNA from 1 species
GUGAACGCUGGCGGUAGGCCUAACACAUGCAAGUCGAACGGCAGCACAGUAAGAGCUUGCUCUUACGGGUGGCGAGUGGCGGACGGGUGAGGAAUACAUCGGAAUCUACUUUUUCGUGGGGGAUAACGUAGGGAAACUUACGCUAAUACCGCAUACGACCUACGGGUGAAAGCAGGUGAUCUUCGGACCUUGCGCGAUUGGAUGAGCCGAUGUCGGAUUAGCUAGUUGGCGGGGUAAAGGCCCACCAAGGCGACGAUCCGUAGCUGGUCUGAGAGGAUGAUCAGCCACACUGGAACUGAGACACGGUCCAGACUCCUACGGGAGGCAGCAGUGGGGAAUAUUGGACAAUGGGCGCAAGCCUGAUCCAGCCAUACCGCGUGGGUGAAGAAGGCCUUCGGGUUGUAAAGCCCUUUUGUUGGGAAAGAAAAGCAGCAGGUUAAUACCCCGCUGUUCUGACGGUACCCAAAGAAUAAGCACCGGCUAACUUCGUG